rnacentral:snoRNA from 1 species
UGCAUUGUUGUCGAUGAUGUAUUCUUGUUGGAACUGAAUUUAAGUGAUCUUAAAUAAGGAUUUGUCACUACCACUGAGAUGACAAUGAA